rnacentral:rRNA from 1 species
UAGGGAAUCUUCCACAAUGGACAAAAGUCUGAUGGAGCAACGCCGCGUGAGUGAAGAAGGGUUUCGGCUCGUAAAACUCUGUUGUUAAAGAAGAACAUAUCUGAGAGUAACUGUUCAGGUAUUGACGGUAUUUAACCAGAAAGCCACGGCUAACUACGUGCCCG